CUGACAGAAGAGAGUGAGCACACGCAGGGAAUUGUAUGCAAAAGGCAUACCUUUGCUUAUGCGUGUGCUCACUUCUCUUCUGUCAG
rfam:Corchorus capsularis cultivar CVL-1 contig13418, whole genome shotgun sequence.